AACGAACGCUUCCUUCCUUCCUAACACAUUCAAGUCGAACGAGACCUUCGGGUCUAGUGGCGCACGGGUGCGUAACGCGUGGGAACCUGCCCUUAGGUUCGGAAUAACUCCCCGAAAGGGGUGCUAAUACCGGAUAAUGUCUUCGGACCAAAGAUUUAUCGCCUUUGGAUGGGCCCGCGUUGGAUUAGCUAGUUGGUAGGGUAAAAGCCUACCAAGGCGACGAUCCAUAGCUGGUCUGAGAGGAUGAUCAGCCACACUGGGACUGAGACACGGCCCAGACUCCUACGGGAGGCAGCAGUGGGGAAUAUUGGACAAUGGGCGAAAGCCUGAUCCAGCAAUGCCGCGUGAGUGAUGAAGGCCUUAGGGUUGUAAAGCUCUUUUACCCGGGAUGAUAAUGACAGUACCGGGAGAAUAAGCUCCGGCUAACUCCGGG
rnacentral:rRNA from 1 species